CUACUAAAAGUUGGUUUUGAGGGGAAGAUUUUGAGUCAUCUUUGUCAACUCAAGCUAUGUGGGAGAAUGAAGACCACACUCCACAUGAGCUAUACUGUUUAUAUGCAGUUCGUAUUUACUAUUUUGUGGCCUAGAAG